GAAGAAUAUAUGGUGGAAGGAACAAAGAGAAUUAUUUAAAGGAAGAGCAGACUCAUUCAUUGCCCGCAUGUGUCUCGUCUUAGGGAAAAGGACUUUUUCCCCAUGGAAAGGGUCAGUGGUAGACUCUGUGGUUGGCGUUUUCCUAACACAAAACGUGUCAGAUUAUCUUUCAAGCAAUGCCUUCAUGCUUCUUGCUUCAGCGUUCCCACUUCAAAAUAGUCGAG
rnacentral:misc_RNA from 1 species